GACGAACGCUGGCGGCGUGCUUAACACAUGCAAGUCGAGCGAUGAAGUUCCUUCGGGAAUGGAUUAGCGGCGGACGGGUGAGUAACACGUGGGUAACCUGCCUCAUAGAGGGGAAUAGCCCUCCGAAAGGAAGAUUAAUACCGCAUAAGAUUGUAGUACCGCAUGGUAUAGCAAUUAAAGGAGUAAUCCGCUAUGAGAUGGACCCGCGUCGCAUUAGCUAGUUGGUGAGGUAACGGCUCACCAAGGCGACGAUGCGUAGCCGACCUGAGAGGGUGACCGGCCACAUUGGGACUGAGACACGGCCCAGACUCCUACGGGAGGCAGCAGUGGGGAAUAUUGCACAAUGGGGGAAACCCUGAUGCAGCAACGCCGCGUGAGUGAUGACGGUCUUCGGAUUGUAAAGCUCUGUCUUCAGGGACGAUAAUGACGGUACCUGAGGAGGAAGCCACGGCUAACUACGUGCCAGCCGCCGCGGUAAGAC
rnacentral:rRNA from 1 species